UUGCCCUCUUAAGUCUGGCGGUGUCUUAAGUGGCCAACACAGAGGGGUAUAAAAGUUCUCUCUCAAACCCAGAGGUGAGGUGGAAACUCCUCUUUGGAUCAUGCUGAGAGGAACACAU
rnacentral:snoRNA from 1 species